rnacentral:rRNA from 1 species
UUGAACGCUGGCGGCAUGCCUAACACAUGCAAGUCGAACGGUAACAGGCCCGCAAGGGUGCUGACGAGUGGCGGACGGGUGCGUAAUACGUAGGAACGUACCCUACAGUGGGGGACAACCUGGGGAAACCCAGGCUAAUACCGCAUAUCCUCUACGGAGGAAAGCGGGGUCGCAAGGCCUCGCGCUGUAGGAUCGGCCUACGCCCGAUUAGCUAGUUGGUAGAGUAAAAGCCUACCAAGGCGACGAUCGGUAGCUGGUCUGAGAGGACGAUCAGCCACACUGGGACUGAGACACGGCCCAGACUCCUACGGGAGGCAGCAGUGGGGAAUCUUGGACAAUGGGGGAAACCCUGAUCCAGCAAUGCCGCGUGUGUGAAGAAGGCCUUCGGGUUGUAAAGCACUUUCAGUGGGGAAGAAAAGCUUCGUGCUAAUACCACGGAGUCUUGACGUUACCCAAAGAAGAAGCAACGGCUAACUCUGU